GACGAACGCUGGCGGCGCGCCUAACACAUGCAAGUCGAACGAGCGAGAGCGUAGGGUCUUGUCGUUUCGUCGAAGCGAGUGGCGAACGGGUGACGUUAACCGCGUGGAGGAACCUGCCUACGAAAGAGGGGACAACAGUUCGAAACACUGCUUAUACCGCGAUAAGCCCACGUACCGGACACUACGGGUAGUAGGUAAAGGAGCAAAGUACCGAGUUUUGACGAUCGGCCUACGUCGUCCGAUUUAGGCUAGGUUAGGGUGACGGUAACCGGACCCGACCGAAGGCGACGAUACGGGUACGGCCCGGUACUGGAGGAGGUUGAACGGCCGCAUUGGGACUGAGACACGGCCCAG
rnacentral:rRNA from 1 species